ensembl:lncRNA
GUGAUAUUUAAGCUCCUGUGUCUGAUUUAUUUCACAUAUAGUCUCAAGGUACAUCCAUUUUCCCACAAAUGGCUCAAGUAUAUCCUUUCUGGCAGAAUAAUAUUUCCAUUGUGUGUUUUCUAGUUUCUGUUUUUUAAGGAACCUCCAUACUGAUUUCUAUAGCGGUUGUACCAGUUUACAUUCCCACCAAAAAUAUUGAAGUGUUUCUUUUUCCCCUAAUCCUCACCGGCAUUUGCUGUUAUCUGAUUUCUUGAUGAUGGCCAUUAUUUCUGUGGUAAGGUGAAAUCUCAAUGUUUUAAUUUGCAUUUCUCUAAUGGCCUGCAACACUGAACAAUUUUUCAUGUAUCUAUUGAUCAUUUGUACUUCUGAGAAAUGUCUGUUCAUUUCACUUGCUUAUUUCUUUUAUUUAGGGGAAAUCUAAUAUAUUGAAUUCUUCAUAUAUUCUAGAUACUACUUCUCUGUCAGGAAUAACUGGAAAAAUGUAUCCUAUUCUGUACAUUGCCAUUUCAUUCUGUUGGUUGUUUCUUUUGCUGUACAGAAGCUGUUAAAUUUGAUAUGCCGCAUUUAUUGGUUCUUAAUUUAUUGGUUCUUAUUUCCUCCACUAUGGGGUAGUUAGUUCAUUUUUAGAACAAAACUAAGGGAAACUAUGAACAAUGACAGGCAAGGUUAAGAAAUACUGUGAAAGAUAAGUAAUAAGUAAAAAGCCACUAGAUUUUUCCAUUUAGAAAAUAAGUGUUGAGUCUUCAGUAGAAAGCUGUUGAUAAAAUGUUGGGAGCUAAGAAGAGAAGAAGACAAGAAAGAUUUGGGAGUUGAUGGACAGUGGACCAUGUGUUUGAGGUUUAUUAAAGGAAAUAGUAGUUUAUAAAAUACAGUGAGAAAAAUCAUUGUGUCUUUUCUGAGGAGGAAAUCUGUUUUCCUCUAGAGAGGAAGUUAAUAAAAAGACAAUAAUUGAAAACACAGGUUCAAAAGAGAUGGAGAAGGUUGGAAUAGAUACAUUUAACAUGACUUCUAUAUGAGUAAGGGCUCUUGUUUUGGACAGAAAAGAGAAGGUGACAAAUGAGAGUUUUAGGGAAAGAACAGGGAUUCUGGUGGAGUCUUCAUUAGGAUCUAUCUUCACCUCAAAAUAGAAUGAGAGGGGUCACUCAGCGGAGAGUAUGAGCAAAUGUCAAGUUGAGAAUUUGUGAAAACCUGAGAAUUGUUUAUUGUGUUGAUAAAACAUAUUUAAAAGUUAUUUAGGGGCCAGGAUUUAGCUCAGUGGUUCCGCCACCUGCCUCGCAAGCGCAAGGACCUGAGUUUGAUCCCCAGUAAAAAAAAAAAAAGUGAUUUAGUACUUGUGUUACCUUAUCAUAAAUUAUAACACAGGGAUUGAACCUUGAAAAAUUAAAUUUCUUUGUUCUUAAUAUUCUCAGUUUCAACUACCUGAGAAUAGAUAUAUAAGAAAGAAAUGUUCAUAUUUCUUUCUUUUGAAUUUUUUAUUUGUUUAGUAGUACAUGUUUGUAGUAUAUAUUGUUUACAUUCUUUGUGGGGAGUUGGUACAUGUACAUAACACACCUUAAUUUAUUUUUUUCGUCUUCUUCCUCUUCUACCAUCCCCUCUCCCUCUGUCUCCUGUUCCACUUUCCACUUGAGAAAGAUAUAGCUUCCUACUCCCUGUUAUAUAACUUUUAUUUUAUCUUUAUUUAUAAUUUUCAUAUAAGAGAAACCAUGUGAUAUUUAAGCUCCUGUGUCUGAUUUAUUUCACAUAUAGUCUCAAGGUACAUCCAUUUUCCCACAAAUGGCUCAAGUAUAUCCUUUCUGGCAGAAUAAUAUUUCCAUUGUGUGUUUUCUAGUUUCUGUUUUUUAAGGAACCUCCAUACUGAUUUCUAUAGCGGUUGUACCAGUUUACAUUCCCACCAAAAAUAUUGAAGUGUUUCUUUUUCCCCUAAUCCUCACCGGCAUUUGCUGUUGUCUGAUUUCUUGAUGAUGGCCAUUAUUUCUGUGGUAAGGUGAAAUCUCAAUGUUUUAAUUUGCAUUUCUCUAAUGGCCUGCAACACUGAACAAUUUUUCAUGUAUCUAUUGAUCAUUUGUACUUCUGAGAAAUGUCUGUUCAUUUCACUUGCUUAUUUCUUUUAUUUAGGGGAAAUCUAAUAUAUUGAAUUCUUCAUAUAUUCUAGAUACUACUUCUCUGUCAGGAAUAACUGGAAAAAUGUAUCCUAUUCUGUACAUUGCCAUUUCAUUCUGUUGGUUGUUUCUUUUGCUGUACAGAAGCUGUUAAAUUUGAUAUGCCGCAUUUAUUGGUUCUUAAUUUAUUGGUUCUUAUUUCCUCCACUAUGGGGUUUUUUUUUCCUGCACUAUGGGGGUUCUUUUCAAAAAAUCCUUGCUUAUGCCUAUGAAUUCAAGAAUUUACCCUAGUUAAUUUCCAGCAAAUUGUUUAUGUUUAUUACUUGGCUCUUUAAUUGACUUUGAUUUAAUUUAGUACAUGAUGAGAGAUAUGGUCUAAAUUCAACCUUCUGCACAUGAAUAGCCACUUUUCCCAGCACCAUUUAGUAAAGAGGCUUUCAUCUCAUGUAUAUUUUUGUCACCUUUGCAAAAAUCAAAUAGUUGAGUGUGCUUUGGGUUGUUUCUGUAUCCUGUAUUGUGUUCCAUUGAUGCACAUUUUUUUUUGUAGCCAGCCAUGCUAUUUUUAUUAUUGUAGCUUUAUAAUAAAACUUCAGAUCUGGGAUUAUGAUGUUAUGAUGCCUCCUACUUUACUCUUGUUACCCUACUUUUGGACUCUGGUUCUCUUUUGGCAACUCAUGAAUUUUAAGAUUGUUUUCUCUAGUUCUAUGAAGAAUGCUGUUGGUAUUUCUUGUAAUUGUGUUAAAUCUGUAUAUCAAUUUUGGAAGUAUGCUCAUUUUGUCUAUAUUGCUUCUGACUAUUCAGGAAAAUGGAAUAUCUUUCCAUCUUUGAUCUCCUUUUUCAGAAUACUAGUUUUCAUUGUUGAAGUCUUUUGUUGGCUUAGGUUAUUCCUUAAGUAUUUAAUUUUUCUUAAUACUAUUGUGAAUGGUAGUUUUUAAAUUUUUCUCUCAGUGAGUUCAUUAUUGGUGUAUAGAAACACUUGAUUUUUGUGUAUUGAUUUUGUAUCUUACUACAUUGCUGAAUUUGUUAUUUCUAGGAGUCUAUUGGUGUAUUUUGAGGGGGUCUUCUACUUAGAGAAUGAUUAUAUUUCUACAAGGAUAGUGAUGUAGCAGAAGGUAAUGACCUUGCGGUAUUAGAAAAAUCAUCAUUAAAAAGGAUCCCUGAGAAUAAUAAAACAAAGUUAAGAGAAUUAAGAAUAUACACUGACUAUCAGGGUGAUAGAAAAUGAGUUUAUUGAGUAGUAAGCAAUUCUUUGUUCCCUGUCAAAAUUUUUUAAGACUGAUGUUCAGAGAGUGGUUCACCAAUGUCAAAUAUUGUACUUUUGAGGUUCAAAUACAUAAUUAUAUUCACACAACUAUAGGAUACCCUUUAGCUCCACAUAUGUUGAUCUCUUUUUCUAUAGUUAAGUCAGCCUGUGGUAUCUGUAGCUUGGGGGUGGCAGUGUUCUUGACCACAUUUUUGACAACAUUAUUCAGUGUAAUUUAGUUUUGAGUUUUCUCCUAUCAAACUGAUUUCCAGAAUGAGGGAGGGAAAAAGAGAGGGGAAGAGAAGAAGAAGAAGAGGAAGAAAAAAGAAGAAGGAGGAGGAGGAAGAAGAAAGAAAAAAGAAAAGAAAGAAAAAGGAAGGAAGGAAGAAAAAAUAGAAGGAAAGGAAGGAAGAGAGGAGAGAAGGAGAAGAGAAAAGAAGAAAAAACUAGUUAGAGAUGAGGAUGAGGAAGGUAUCAUGAUUAAGGAGGAAAAAAUUAAAAGGGUGGUAAAGGAAUUGAAAAUGAUGAAGAUAUGUUAUAUGCAUGCACUAAUUCACCAAAAUGAACAAUCAUUAUUCUAUACUGCAAACAUAGUCUAAAACAUAAAGUAAAAUCAAAGUCUAAUAGGUCAGUGCCUUUACAAGUAGUUUUCCUUUUACAUAAUUAUUUCCAUAUGGAAAGGUGGCUCUUGCUAAACCACGAACUGGUUAUAAGUCAGUCAUACCCAAUCAUUUUAUGAAUUUAGUAUGGCUGUACAUAGAUUCUACAAAACAAACUGACUCUUCUUUUGGAACCACCUGGUAAAAAACUGUUAGAUUAAAAGAAGAAAUUUAACUUGGAUUAACUUUUGAGUUAAGAAAUGGAGAAAUUAGUUUUUUAAAUAUAAAAUCAUAAUCCUAAACUGGAUAUUGACCAAAUAAAUUUGUGUAUAACUGAAUUCAAUAUUAAAAUUAAUAACUAAAACCUUAAUAUGUCCAAGAAAGGUAUAAAGUCGCAAUCAACCUAAGAGUUGAGUAUAAUUGCUGAAAUUAUUAUAAUAGUAAUUUUUAUUUACUGUACUCAGUUUCCAGAAUAGGAUCUUGACUUAUGGAUAGAGAAUUCUAUCCAUGGUACAAUGAGGUGACAAUGGAAAAAGAAAGAAUGAGCAUUUUGAGGCAGCAGACCCAGAAACUUGGUAAAAAGAAGGCCUGGCUUACAUGAAGGGAAACCAAGAAACGUAUAUGUGAAUAUGUACGUGCAGCAUAUCUACUUAAGUACAGCUCUAACUUUGGUGCUCCACAGCAGUUCACAGGUACUCAAAUGUUUGGCUAAAAAGUGCUUUGCAUGUGACAAUUGUGAGUUGUGUGUUAAAUCAAGCUCCAAGAAAAGAGUACUUGCUCUGUGGUGCUUUCAAUUCCCAAAGAGUAUAUUUAGAUGGCACAGCUGGUGAACUGGUAAAGGCACCUCAGGAAGGCAGUUGUUUGGCUGCUGUGAUGGGACCAGUAGUAUUUAAAUUUUUACAUAUUCCUCCCAUUUAAUUUCCACAUUUCCCUACUUUCAAAACUUCUCUUUGUUUUGCUCAUCCUGUUUAUACUUCUGUUAAUUCCUUUGCAGACCUCAGAUUUUAGGCCCUCCUUCUGGGCUAAAACUCUUCUUCCUCAAAGCCCAUUUUAAAUUUCCUUAAAGGAGGUAAGAUAGGAAAAACAUCUAGGACAUUAAAUAUAUAUUAAAGUUUUAAUACACUGGCUGAAAUGAAUUUUAUCUUGAUUCCCAGAUUCCCUGUUCCCUGAAUUCUUAGCAUGUGGUGGCAUUUCCCAGGGACUGUUUUUAAAGUUGUUCAUUGUUAUGAACAUUUCACCUAUAUUUUAUUUCCCUAAUUAUACUAUUAUACAAUCUUAAAGCUCAAUUCUUUAUAUUCCAUGCUUGCUUGCUUUUUUAAAAAAAAAUACAAUGUAGUGUAUAGCAGAGUUAUACAUAGAAUAUUCUGUUAAUUUUUGCAUGAACAAAUAAUCUUUCCUAUAAAAGUAUUUUACCUAAUGUAUAUAAUUAUCCCUCAAUAUUUUGUCUUUCAGUUUUAUAUAAGGUUCAUGUAAUUCAGUUCACUGACUCCAACAUACUGAAAUUAUAAUGUAGUUUUUGUUACGUUGUUGCUUAAAGUAGGAGAGCAGAUCAGAUUUAGCUAUUUUAUUGUGCAGUUUUGGAAACAAGACUGUCAGAUGACUUUAACUUACUGAAGACUAUGAAGGAAAGCAAUAGUUACAGGCAAGGCAAAAGCCACAUAAAUCUUUAGCAGGGCUGACUUCUACCCUGAAAUGUGUUGCCUGACUUUCCUUCCCUUGACUGUAGAAAUUGGGUUUGUCUAGAUUUUCUACAAUACAAGUUUGAGGCAUAGGAAUAAUUUCAUUACUUCUGAAUCUAAGUCACUUUCACACUUAAUUCUUCAUAAAAGUGUUUUCCGGGGUAUGACAAGAAUUAAAAUUUCUUAUGUUUGGACUCUUACAGUAAAGAGGUGGAAAAUAGAAUUAACUGCAACGAAAUGGUGUGUUAUGCAUCACUUUAGAAAUUAUUCUCUUUUUUUCUUUUAUUGAGCUACAGUUUUUCCUCAUGACUGACCUUCAGAUGAUUCUGAAUAUUACUUUCUGUCACAGAGCUUAGUAGACCAUUGUCUGGCCUUCCUAGGUUAUGAAACUACAAAUUGACAUUCCUAAGGCUUAUGGAUGAGGUCAUGAAGGUCUUUUAAUGGAGACUUACAAAUUGAAUAGUCAAAAUUUGCUAUCUGAAAGUUAGCAUCCACCUAUAAUCAAAGUCCAUUUGUGCUCUGGCCUUGAUAAUUUUAGUGAUGGCUUAUUAUGAGCUGAUUUUAGCAGGUAUCUGUAUUCCAUAAAAGGCAAUACUAUUAGAAAAUUGAGCAACAUAAGAAAUAUAUAGUCAUCAACUUUUCAUGAAGUUCCUUGAAAUAUAUCAAGUCAGCUGUUCAAGAAAUGUUAUAUUUUAAUGGCAUACUGAGAGACUGUGUCAACUAUUACAACACCACUAUCAUGUUCUUGCACAAAAUGACAAUGAACAGAAAGUAUAUCAGAUGGUACUUUCUCUUUAUAGUUAGAAAUCGAUUUUAAGAGACAAUGGAGCAAGUGGUUAUAAGUAUAAAAUUUAGAGGAGGGUAAGUGGGAAUAUUUCAAAUGAUUAUUUUUCUGACCCAGGAUAUUAUUUGAUCACAAAAUGGGGUAGAAUAUAGAUUCACCAAAGGAACAAUCAGUUAUCGACUAAAUCAGGUGAAAUAGCAUAAAGACACAAUUAUAGGCAUGAACAUUGCAUGCCAGGGGUCAGAGAGACAUUCAGACACUCAGAGGCAGAGGAGAACACAUGUCGUGCGAUUGGGGGGGGUGAGGAUAAAGACAUAGAUUUAUGAAAGACUUCUCAGAACUGUAUAGUGAGCCCCAUGAAGAAUAAAUAUUGUUUAUGUUUCUAAGCAAUGGAAUUAGAAAAUGACAUCAUUCUUCUGCAAAGAUUAAUCAUAUCUGUGUCCUAAAAUGAUUGAAAGGGGAUAGAGGUGAGAAUUGGAAUUAAUAUUCACAGAUUUCAACUGAACUAAUGCUGAGAAAGAAAAGAGGAUGGAGAGGAAAGUAUAAAUAUGAGACAUUUUGAAAGAAGGCGCAGUCGAGCCUUACCAUAUAGCUAAAGAAAAUGGAAGUGAAAACACAGUCAGCAAUAUGCCAGCCUUACAAAUGGCUAAAUAUCUCUAAUGAGUAAUAAAAUGCUCACCAUGUUUUCUUAGCUCUGCCACCUUGAUGUUCAAUGAAUUUAUUCAUUGAAAGGCAAUGUGUCACUGCCAAGCUAGUGUGUAGGAGGCCACCAGGUAACAGGGAAGUGAUCUUUCCUGACACUGCUCUCACACACAGGAGCAUACACCUAUUACACACACAGGGUCCCCUGGGUGGCUGCAAAACAGGGAUUGAUGUGUUUUCAUUAUGUUGGGAAGAAUUUCAGUUUCCCAAAACUUAUUCUGUUAUUCAUUUACAAAAUCCCUUCUUUCAGUUUCAUGUCAUAUUUCAUCUCUCCUAACAGCUGCCAUUCUCCAAUCUUCUAUUAGACUCAGAAAAGUCUGAAGCAUUGAUACCUAAAUCAUUGGUUCCUCUGUAUGCCAUGAUCAGACAAAAGGAACUAGGGUCUGCCUCCGAAAUCUGAAAUCUAGUGUUUUGUAAGACCACAAUCUCUAAUUCUCUUCAUCUCCCUUACACCUGUGGUCCUCUUUGAUAAUGUCUCAGUAACCACCAGCCAUUUCUUCCUUCAAUAAAAGCACUUCAUAAACAACUGAUGCCCUUCAUUUUCUUGCAAAUCUCCUCUCAUGUCAACAAAGCCAGGCUACAAUCCUGAAUAUAUGCCACAAUCUACCACCUCCCUUUACCUAUUUGGGAUAUACUCUGAGAACAGCCAUGAUUGUUAACCUUAGUUCCUCAAAUCUACUUUCAGUAUGUCCACUCGAUGUCUGAAAACUAAUGUCAGUCUGCCACUUCCUUAAAUAUCUAUUAAUGAUUGCUGUGACUCCUGUGUAUAUUCGUGUUUCUUUUCACUGAAACAUGAAGGGUUAAAUCUAAUCCCUUACUUAACUAGAAAGCAGCUCUUACACUCCACCUCCUUCCAAUUUCCUCUAACAUUUUUUACUUCUCUUUUCUUCACCAGUGCCCCUCUGCUCUACCCUUGUGCAAUAUGCAAUUCUUCUUGAAUAACAGUGUCUAGAAGUUUUCCAGAUUGAAUAUUGUAAUCUGAGAAUUACAGAAAGAUUUAGAACUUGAAAACUUUGCUCCCUUGUUUAAGAAAGAAAGCAUAUGUAAAAACUCAAAACCAACCAAACAGAAAAUAAGUAAGGCUGUACUCAUUAAAAACACUUUCCUGGAAAGAGGACAGCAGAGUACUACCCUGGAAAAGCAAGGACCUUGAGCGUUUUUGGAUGGAUGAGUACCUAAACAUCAACUUGAAACUCCAAGAAGACCAUAUGGGAAUAAUGCCUAAAUUGUUUAUUCAAUGCUUUAAACACAGUUAUUUUUGUCAUCUUUAAUGUAUCUACUUUGUUUAAUAGCAGCAUUUAGUCAUUGUUCUUCACUGGCUAAGGCAUAUAAUGUGCUGUCUCGUGUAACCAAGUGUCAUUAGAAGCAAAAUCUUCAAUAUCUAAUUUACUAAAUCUAAUUUUGCAGUUUUCAAUCUGAAAUGCAAAUUUAUAAAUUUAUAAACAUUUCACUUGGUGAAAUUUCAUAGAAAGGUUUUAAAAUCAAAUCUUUUUUUUUCCUUUGCUAAGUAGGAUGAAACUGAUUGUUCUGUGUCUUGUGGAGUUUGAGCUCCUAAACAAAAAUUCAGUGAGAGGAUUCUAGAACUCUUUGGUAUAUAAGAAAGGUACUUGCUUCAUGGGAAAUUUUCCUCAGACUCAGCCCUUAUGGAUUAUCCUUUAAAAUGCUUUCAUCACUUUUGCCUUGCUGCCUUCGAUUGCAAUGAGCCUAACCCUUGAAUGUUGCUGAAUUUAUAGCUCUGUAAAACAAACUCUUCUGGCAUUUCCUACACACAAUUGGGUUUCUUAGCUGCUCAAAAGAUUUGAGCUACAGUAGUUUGUUUCAUUAUUAAAGACAUAUGAUGCCUGUUGAACAGAUUUCCCCUUGGGCAACAGAGCUGAUAAAAGAAUAAAGAAUUUCAAGAAUCUGUAUCUCAAAAAUAAAUCCCAAGGUAUCUUUUACUUUUUUUUGACUUGGGGGGAAGCUUACAAAAUAAUUUCCAUUUUUAUUUAGCUUUGUACUUAUUAUGGAGCUGUGGGAGAACACAGCAUUUACCAGAUGAAAUUGUGCCAUUUGAAAUAAACAUGUGUUAUUUUAACUUUUGGCCUACAUUUGAUGACAAUAAUGAGACCUUCCUAAAAAUGAGAACCUGAAGUCAGCCCUAAUCGGAACCAUGAUUGCAGUUAGUAUAAUUCCAAAGGAAGCGAAUGUGGCUACUCUUCAAUGUUUCAUACUCCUUCCUUGAACAUAGUCUUUACAUUAGGUAAUAUUUUGUGUGUGUGUGGUCACUUGUUUUAAUGGUCACAUCUUACAUUCACCAUAAUGCUUUAAUGUCAGUCCUGUGGUUCUGUGAUCUUAGUGUCAUAGUAUUAAAUCUAUCAGACUGCUCAGCCCUUUGCAAGCAACUGAGAGACAAAGACUGCAAACUACAAUGAAGUACUGCAUAUUUGUUUGCCCAAGGAAAAAGCCAAUCCUAAUUUAGAUGUGCUUCUAUUUACUAGGCUACUUGGCUUUCCAUGGGCACAUUAAAUGACCAAGAGACUCCAUUUGUUAUUGAAAAGGACAGGAGCUGAAAUGAAAAGGGUUAAUUUGCAAAGGUAGGACAUCUGUUAGAAAUCAGCCCAGAAGCAGGAGCUGGCUGUAUUCCAAGAGUGGUUUUUCAUCUGCCAUGGAGUUGGCCAUUGACAGUUAAACUUGGAUCUAAACUUCACAAGGCAGAAAAACACAUUCUUGAAUUUAACAUUUAGUUCUUUUAGCUAUCCAAGCUGAAGGUGCUAGAGCUAUACAAAAAAAAAAUGCAGUAGCUAUACAGAGAAGUUGCUGUAGCUAUAGCUUUACAGACAAAUUGUGAAGCAAUACAGAAUUUCACUUGAGAUGAAGUCCCCAAACUUUCCUAAAUCUGUUUGUAUCCCAGCCAUUAGCCUAGGCUUCCAUUAAGGGCCUUACAUAAAUGUAUGUUCAGUAGAUAGUUGUUAAAUGUAAAAACUCGAAAUUAUUUUCUUUAUUAAUUUUAUUGGUACAUUUUAGGUAUACAAUAUAAUGACAUUCAUCAUUGGAAAUUUGCAUAUUUACAUAAGCUCUCUUGGUUCUUAUUUUUUCCUCAUUCUUCUGCCCUCCCUUCAACCCCUCCAUCCCUGCCUAUUUACAAAGACUUUGUUUCCAUUUUUGCAUUUUCUCAUAUUAAUUCCUUUGCCCUCCCCCUCCCACUUCCCUUUCCCCUUUGCCCCUUUUCUUCCUAUUUCACAUUAUCUAUUAUACCUUUUAGUCUUUAUUUACACUUUCAGUUUCUCACUCUCGAGAAACUAUUCGGUAUUUACACAUGUGUGUCCUAUUUAUUUCACUUACAAGUAUCACUUCAAUGUGCAUCCAUUUAGCUAUAAAUGUCUCUGAUUUCUCAUUUUUAUGGCUGAGUAGUACUCCAUUUUAUUAAAAAAAAAAAACACAUUUCCUUUGUCCAGUCUCCAGUUGAUGGGCACUUGGGUUGCUUCCAAGCUUUAGCUAUUACAAACUCUGCUGUGAUAAACAUAGGUGCACAUAUAUCACUUUGGUAUGAUUCUUUUAAUUUUGGGGGGAAGAUGCCCAGCAGGGGGAUAGCUGGGUCAAAUGGGACCUCCAGUCCUGGUUCUCCAUACUUGAGGUAUCUCCAUACUGAUUUCCACAGUGAUUACACCAGUCUACACUCCCACCAGCAGUGGAGAAAUUUCUGUACAAUUCUGUCAUGUAAAUGGCUAUGAAAAAGUAUAUUUCUUUAACUUAAUUUUGUCCACAAGUUUUCCUUUGGAUUGUUUCAGUUUUACAAAUCUCUGUUUGGGAAACUACUAAAAUAAUAAAAUCAUGGAAUUUUAAUGGCUUUUGAAAGAGUCUUGUGUUUCCUUCCCUGGUUGAGAUAGGGUCCUAUACUUGUCCUUGAACCACUCAUGAUAAAUCUCUUUGACUCCAUAUAUUCUGCUUCCCAUCCCUAACAGUGAGAACGCUGAAAGCAAAACUUACCAAAAUUGUUUUAAAGAGAAAAAACAGAAUUUUGGUUUCCAGAAUAAAAAUGCAUGCUAAAUGGACAAAAAAGGAUGAUUACUACAGUUUAAGGAUAUGCAGGAAUUAAAUAGCCAUACUAUGGUGUUUAUUUUAAUGGAAAUCUUAUUCUACAAUUAUUUUCUAUUAUUCUUUACCUUCUUCUCUAAAGCAUGAAGAUACCAGAUUUCUUCUUGCAAUGUAAUUCAAAGGGUUGCUUAUGUAAAAUGAAUCUAGAGAGUUUGUCUGAGAACACCGAACCCAAAUCUUGUUUGUCUUGUCAAAACCUCUGACACAUGUGCUAGGAUAUGAUACAAUGUGUAUGUUUUGACUUUUCAAUAUUGUUUCUUAGCCCCUAAUGAUAGUCGAAUGAAUGCAUCACCAGGCUGUAAUCAGUUCUAGGCUAGGUUUUAACAGUUUAUGAUGUAGUUUCUCUGAAGGAAUUGUUAGAUCAAAUAAUUGGCAUUCUGAUCUCUCAAGAAUGUUUCAUUUUUAUAGUGAUUAAAAAAGCCCAUUUAGCUGAUUUGUAAGCCUUGCAAGAACUUGCUUAUUAGAAACUCAUCAGAGUUCUAUGCAGAAGGGCCAUUUUAUAUGGGUAAAGGGUAAGAAGAGUUUAAAUCUUUUUGAAGUUAUUUUUUAGUCUUAGAUGCAAAUCACCCAAUGUCUACAUGUAAAUUAUCUCUGACAUCACCUCGAGGUUAAACAAGCUUGUUUUUAUUUCACAUCUUGACCUCUGAACAAAAAGACUUUAAAACACAUCACUGCCCUCUUGCUAAUCUAAGACUUAUCUUCUAAUACCAUUGCUUUGUAAAAUCAUACUGGAAAAUAAAUCAUUAUGCACUUCAAUAAGCAACUUUCCUUAGUUUAAGAACUCUCCUUCUGAAUUCUAGAGUCAGGGCCUGAGAGUCACGGAAAACAGUUGGACACCAAUUUCCAGAGUACAUUAAACAAUUCAUUUACUUUCCUAGCAUUGAGCUCAGAGACUAGAAAAUUCAAUUAUCCUAUCCUCACUUGUACUGACUUACUCAGAGCCCCUUCCAGCUCCAGAAUACACCAUAAGAAAAUAAAACUUUCUAGAGCACUCACAUCUCUCACCUUCAUUAGUAUCUCUUUUGUCAAAUUCUCCCUGGCUUGCUUGUCCUCAUCCUUUUCUUGAAGACUUUUUGGUCUCUUUCUCAGUAACCAGUUCUAUUGCAAAGGAUACCUUACCUCCUUUGUUAUAGAAAAUAUCCUUUUCUACUUUCUAUCUCUUCUUUUUACUUUAUUAAGUAUAUAUCUAAAUAUUAGAAAUGAUUGGAAGAUGUUUUUGCCUGAGAUAUUUUCAAGGUGGAUAUUUAACAUCAUGCAAGUUUGUUCUCUAUCUCCUGUCUCUCUCCUUCUGUCUCCAAAAACUUCUGCAGUAGCUUGUUUAUGUGUGGGGAACAAGGGACUUUCUUCAUUAUCAAUGCUCCUAAACCCAAAAUCUGUUUAUCAGUCAGGAAAAAGUAAAAGGAAGAGAAUCCAGAGAACUGGCUGUGACUCAUAAUACAUGAGCAACUUCAAGGUGAAGGGGAGAGAAAGCAGAUCCCCAGCCACUUUGGGGGACCCACAAGGACUAUGGGUCUUCUGCUUUUUAUAUGUGGUCCUUGACCCAGUGGCUCUGACAUAAAGAUUUCAAAGAUGUCUCCCUGAUAUCCUGGGUAUCCCAGGUCCUGCACUGACAUGGUGUCCUCCAUUCUUUUUCUAUCCAAAAUUUCUUUCUUGUGUCUGCAGCUCUAAUGACUAGUUGUCAAAAAUAUAACCAGAAAUAUUUUUACUUUUUCAUAAUACUGUAUUUUCUUAUUCUUACAUAUAGACAUUUCCUUUACCUUACUACUGAAUUUGAGCAAUUAUUUCUUGUGUUAUGAAACACAAGAUUAUGGUUAAGGCCAUAAUAUUGAUGAGAGGCUAAAAUCAAGUUGUAUCUCCAACCAUUACCAACUAUGUGACCUUAGAGAAACUACUCAACCUCUCUGUGCUUCAAGGUCCUAGCCACAAAAGUAGAAAAUAAACAUAAUAUUACUGACUCAAAGGUUAUUGAAAUGAUUUAGAGUCAAUAACUCUUAUCUAAAACUUUAUCCAGAAGAUAUUCUUAGCUCUUUAGAGCUGAGAAUUCUUUAUUUUUAAAAGGAGAACCUAUUGCAUGUGUGUGUGUGUAUGUGUGUAUAGAUGUGUUUAUAUUUCCCAUGGUAAGAGUGUCAGGAAGCCUUGCAUAGUGAAACACAUCAACAAUUAUGUAGGGAGCUACACAAAUACUGCUUCUAAAUUGAAUAAGUAAAGACUAGCAGUGGUUUUAUAGAGAUCAGGUCCAGUAUUGGCAUAAAAGGAGUUUAGGUCAAGUCAAUUUUCGCUGCCAAUUAAAUUAUAAAAAGCUAUUGAUAGCACUGCAGGAACCAUGAGUAUAGUGUUUAGCCAAGUGUUUAGCACAUAGUAAGCCCCCCUCCCACAUCAUCUAUUGUUAUUAAUCUCAUCAUUGAGAGAAAACAUUUAUUGAGUGGCCACCAUGUUUUUAACUUGGUAUAUUUUAUUAUUCUAUGCAACUUCUUGGUUAAAGUCUGGCACUCUUAUUUCUUCUCAGAAGACCCUGAUUAAUAAUAGUUUUUCUUUUUAAGAAUAUGAGCAAAACUUUCCAAACUUCAGGAGAGAAAUAUCAGUCAGAAGAGCUUUUCUUUAAAAAAAUUCCUUAAAUUUUUCCUUUCAGAUAACUUUAAUAUAUAUAGUCUACAUACAUUUCCUAUUCUAUGAUGGUAGAAGCUCCAGACAAAACUGGAAGUAGCUGUCCAUCAUGUCUUAAAACUUCACCCAGCCCAAUGCCUCCUAAAUAAGAAUGGUUCACAUUCUCUCAGUCCCCUCCAUUAGUCCCUCCACUGCACUUGCUCUGUUCUCCUGACUCACCUGCCUUUUUUGUAUGGGAGGUGAUAAGCAGUAGGAACAACAAGUUUACCAUUUUGCUUCCUUAUUGUGCCACUGAGGAGUGGGCAUUCCAUAUCUUCUACUGUAAUAGAAUUACAUAAUAGGUAAGUGUGUAGAACACUUUCAUGAAAAGUUGCAAGACACAAACUAUAGAAUGCUCCUGUUCUUAUUUUUUUCCUACUUAAUUUAGGUAAAUUAUUCCCUUGGAUUAGAGCAGAUGAAAACUGGAUCUCAUCCACAGCUAAGGACAGUUCACUGAAUCCUUAUGCUCAUAGAUGAAAAGAACCUUAUUGUAAGCCUGUUGGAUCUGCACAGCUACCUUAUAAAUAUUAAGCUUAGUAUCCUGACUAAAUGAUAGGAGAGGCCAUAAUAAUUUGCUUCAAAAAAAUUUUUGUAAAACCCCUAGUUUACUUUUAAUUUUUAUUAUUUUAUUUUUACAGACCAAAUAAAAGAAAUAACUUAGUUUGUAAGUAUUGUAGCCAUUGUUUUGAAAUUUUUUAUUAUUAAAUAAUCACAAAUUGAAUAUAAUAAAAUAUAUAUAAU